UUUUUUAUUCAUCUAUUUAUUUAUUUUUCGUCUCAAGUUGUUAUUCACCUGCUGUGAAAGUGAAGAAAAUAUGUCUGCCACGCAAAGUCUGCUUCAUUCGUUUUUAUUUAGUUCAUUUUUUGUUUAGAGGCUGUGAUUCUUUCAAGGAGAAAUUGAUAGCGAGAGGCAAGUGAUAAGAAAAGAAACAAGUAGGGAGCUGAAACUAGAGACGUUGAACCAAGCGAAUGGAAAAGAAAGCGUCGUCUGCUGGGCGGAGCUGAGCAGACGAUUAGAAGAGCAGACGGUACAAAAUGGAAGGCGAGAAGGGCAGAGAGAAAGCGAAAGAGAAAGUGAGAGGGGAAGCGAAAUAAAGAAAAAGAGAGAGAGGGGAAGCGAAAGAGAGAAAGAAAAGAAACCUGACUUGGCAGAUUACAUAUGAGCAUUUGACGAAAAGAUUCUGACCUGAGAUUAGCGUGACAAGUGGAGUUAGUUGAAGGGGUUAUACAUACAUGUAUGUACGUAUAUAUGUACGUUCAUUGACAUUUUUCUCAACGAUGCUUCAUACAUAGUAGUCCAGUGAAUUGAGAUCUGGAGAAUUAGGAGGUCAAAUAUCGGGGGUGAUAUGAUAAUGCAAAUUGUAGGCCAUCCGUUCUUGUGUCAUUUGAGCUUUGUGUGAUGGUCUCAAUAUACGCAGCAGUAUUCAUCCUAAAGGCCUUGUGGGAAAAAGUGAGGAGGUAUCAUAUGUCCUUCAUUGCUAACAAUACCCAAAACCAUGAAACUUGCAGGAAAUUUUGUGUGCAUUACUCUUGGAACCGCAGAAGGAUCUGCACAUAACCAUCUGUCAUUUCUUCUGUUAGUUUUCUGGUCCUGGUCAAAGUUUUUCUCAUUUGAGAAAAACCAAAUCACACCAUCUUAUGAUGGAUUUUUAAGUUUGUUCUUUUGGAUCUGAUUAAACGGUUUUCUUUUGUUUUUUCUGUCACGUAA